CCUACGGGUGGCAGCAGUGGGGAAUAUUGGACAAUGGGCGCAAGCCUGAUCCAGCAAUGCCGCGUGGGUGAAGAAGGUCUUCGGAUUGUAAAGCCCUUUCGGCGGGGACGAUGAUGACGGUACCCGCAGAAGAAGCCCCGGCUAACUUCGUGCCAGCAGCCGCGGUAAUACGAAGGGGGCUAGCGUUGCUCGGAAUGACUGGGCGUAAAGGGCGCGUAGGCGGUGCAUUUGGUCAGGCGUGAAAUUCCUGGGCUUAACCUGGGGACUGCGCUUGAGACGGGUGUGCUGGAGGGCAGGAGAGGCUCGCGGAAUUCCCAGUGUAGAGGUGAAAUUCGUAGAUAUUGGGAAGAACACCGGUGGCGAAGGCGGCGAGCUGGCCUGUACCUGACGCUGAGGCGCGACAGCGUGGGGAGCAAACAGGAUUAGAUACCCGUGUAGUC
rnacentral:rRNA from 1 species